rnacentral:rRNA from 1 species
CCUACGGGAGGCAGCAGUGAGGAAUAUUGGUCAAUGGGCGCGAGCCUGAACCAGCCAAGUAGCGUGAAGGAUGACUGCCCUACGGGUUGUAAACUUCUUUUAUAAAGGAAUAAAACGAGGCACGUGUGCCUUUUUGCAUGUACUUUAUGAAUAAGGAUCGGCUAACUCCGUGCCAGCAGCCGCGGUAAUACGGAGGAUCCGAGCGUUAUCCGGAUUUAUUGGGUUUAAAGGGAGCGUAGGCGGGUUGUUAAGUCAGUUGUGAAAGUUUGCGGCUCAACCGUAAAAUUGCAGUUGAUACUGGCAUCCUGGAGUACAGUAGAGGUAGGCGGAAUUCGUGGUGUAGCGGUGAAAUGCUUAGAUAUCACGAAGAACUCCGAUUGCGAAGGCAGCCUGCUGGACUGUAACUGACGCUGAUGCUCGAAAGUGUGGGUAUCAAACAGGAUUAGAUACCCCUGUAGUC